rnacentral:rRNA from 1 species
UGAGGAAUAUUGGUCAAUGGGCGAGAGCCUGAACCAGCCAAAUCGCGUGAAGGAAGACUGCCUUAUGGGUUGUAAACUUCUUUUAUACAGGAAUAAAAAAGGGGACGUGUCCCUUAUUGCAUGUACUGUAUGAAUAAGCAUCGGCUAACUCCGUGCCAGCAGCCGCGGUAAUACGGAGGAUGCGAGCGUUAUCCGGAUUUAUUGGGUUUAAAAGGGUGCGCAGGCGGGCUUUUAAGUCAGCGGUGAAAUCUCGGGGCUUAACUCCGAAACUGCCGUUGAAACUGGGAGUCUUGAGUAUGGAUGAAGUAGGCGGAAUUCGUUGUGUAGCGGUGACAUGCUUAGAUAUAACGAGGAACUCCGAUUGCGUAGGCAGCUUACUAAGCCAUAACUGACGCUCAAGCACGAAAGCGUGGGGAUCAAACAGGAUUAGAUACCCUGGUAGUCCACGCCGUAAACGAUGAUUACUAGUUGUAUGCGAUAUACCGUAUGUGACUAAGCGAAAAGCGAUAAGUAAUCCACCUGGGGAGUACGCCGGCAACGGUGAAACUCAAAUGAAUUGACGGGGUCAUAGCUGUUUCCUG